rnacentral:lncRNA from 1 species
UGUAGCCCCAGACUGGUCUUGAAGUCAUGAUCCUCCUGCCUCAAUCUCCCAAGCACUAGGAUUUACAUGAGUGCCACCACACCAGCCUCAACCAUGUCUCAUUUUGAAAUUGCUUUUUUCUUCUUAAGGCUGGAGCCUGCUGUCUCCUCAGUGACAAACUGCUACCACCUGAUGUAAUAUGUCAAACCAGGCCUGAAAACUCCUCCAACAAGAUGGUUGGUUUGGCCUCAGGCACUUGUGAGUGUUCAGGGAUGUGCUGCCCUGAAUUUUUCCCAGCCUUUUAGGAUGUCUGUGGUUGCAGACUACGGAGAGCCAGCAGUUGUGCCUCAAGGAGCACUACGUGUGAAUUCACCCAAGUCCAAGCGUUGGCCACGAGUUUCAGAGCUUAAGAAUCCUGAUUUGACAGUGCACUGGGAGCAGCACAAUGGCCCACAGAAAAAUCCACUAACUAUGCUCCUGAGACUGCUGUAUCCAGCCAGAAGGUCAGUUUAUUAAUUUACAACAAAAAUUCUAUCUC